rnacentral:rRNA from 1 species
UAAGACGAACCGUGCAAACGUUGUUCGGAAUCACUGGGCUUAAAGGGCGCGUAGGCGGGCAAGCAAGUCGAAGGUGAAAUCCCACGGCUCAACCGUGGAAGUGCCCCCGAUACUGCUUGUCUUGAGGGAGAUAGGGGCGUGCGGAACUUCCGGUGGAGCGGUGAAAUGCGUAGAUAUCGGAAGGAACACCGGUGGCGAAAGCGGCGCGCUGGAUCUCUUCUGACGCUGAGGCGCGAAAGCCAGGGGAGCAAACGGGAUUAGAUACCCCGGUAGUCCUGGCCCUAAACGUUGGGUACUAGGUAGUGGACUUACAUGGGUUCACUGCCGAAGCAAAAGUGAUAAGUACCCCGCCUGGGGAGUAUGGUCGCAAGGCUG